UAAAUGAGGCCAUUUACCCACAGAGGGUGCCAGGCCCGUAUAACGUUAAUGAUUACUAGAUGGCAUUUCCAAAGAGUCGUGUUGCUUGAUAGUGCAGCACUAAGUGGGUGGUAAACUCCAUCUAAAACUAAAUAUAACCAUGAGACCGAUAGUAAACAAGUACCGUGAGGGAAAGUUGAAAAGAACUCUGAAUAGAGAGUUAAAUAGUACGUGAAACUGCUUAGAGGUUAAGCCCGAUGAACCUGAAUAUCCAUUAUAGAAAAUUCAUCAUUAUGAUUUUAAUAUGUAUAAUAUUAUAAUAAUGGUGUGCAUUUUUUCUAUAACGGACAUUGUAAUCUAUUAACAUAGAUAUAUUUAUCAUAAGAUCAAUGAUGCGUAAGUUUAUUCAAAUUAUUUUGCUUGCAAUUUAACAUAGAAUAAAUGCUCUUGAUUUGAUAAAGUGUUGAUAGAUUUAUUGUAUAUAGUGCUUAAAUAUUUGGUAUUUUAUAAUAGCAUAUUAAUCAUUGAUUUUUAUGUUUAUUAUAUGCACUUAUAUGAUUAACAAUGCGAAAGAUUCAGGAUACCUUCGGGACCCGUCUUGAAACACGGACCAAGGAGUCUAACAUAUUUGCAAGUUAUUGGGUAUCAAAACCUAAUAGCGAAAUUAACAUAACUUUUUUUAUGGGAUUAGUUUUUAGAUUAUUUAUAGUCUAUUAAUUCAAUCCCGGGGCGUUCUAUAUAGUUAUGUAUAAUAAUAUUUAUAUUAUUUAUACCUCUAACUAGAGCGUACCUUGAGCAUAUAUGCUGUGACCCGAAAGAUGGUGAACUAUACUUGAUCAGGUUGAAGUCAGGGGAAACCCUGAUGGAAGACCGAAACAGUUCUGACGUGCAAAUCGAUUGUCAGAA
rnacentral:rRNA from 1 species